UACGUAGGGUCCGAGCGUUUGUCCGGAAUUAUUGGGCGUAAAGGGCUCGUAGGCGGUUCGUCACGUCGGGGGUGAAAACUCGGGGCUUAACCCCGAGCCUGCUUCCGAUACGGGCAGACUAGAGGUAGGCAGGGGGAGAGCGGAACUCCUGGUGUAGCGGUGGAAUGCGCAGAUAUCAGGAGGAACACCGGUGGCGAAGGCGGUUCUCUGGGCAUUACCUGACGCUGAGGAGCGAAAGUGUGGGGAGCGAACAGG
rnacentral:rRNA from 1 species